rnacentral:rRNA from 1 species
CCCCGGGCUCAACCCGGGAACUGCAUNCCAAACUGGGUAUCUAGAGUGCAGGAGAGGAAAGCGGAAUUCCUAGUGUAGCGGUGAAAUGCGUAGAUAUUAGGAGGAACACCAGUGGCGAAGGCGGCUUUCUGGACUGUAACUGACACUGAGGCAUGAAAGCGUGGGUAGCAAACAGGAUUAGAUACCCUGGUAGUCCACGCCGUAAACGAUGGGUACUAGGUGUAGGAGGUAUCGACCCCUUCUGUGCCGUCGUUAACACAAUAAGUACCCCGCCUGGGGAGUACGGUCGCAAGACUAAAACUCAAAGGAAUUGACGGGGGCCCGCACAAGCAGCGGAGCAUGUGGUUUAAUUCGAAGCAACGCGAAGAACCUUACCUAGACUUGACAUCUCCUGAAUUACCCUUAACCGGGGAAGCCCUUCGGGGCAGGAAGACAGGUGGUGCAUGGUUGUCGUCAGCUCGUGUCGUGAGAUGUUGGGUUAGGUCCCGCAACGAGCGCAACCCUUAUUUUUAGUUGCUACCAUUCAGUUGAGCACUCUAAAGAGACUGCCCGGGUUAACCGGGAGGAAGGUGGGGAUGACGUCAAAUCAUCAUGCCCCUUAUGUCUAGGGCUACACACGUGCUACAAUGGUGAGAACAAAGAGACGCGAGACCGCGAGGUGGAGCAAAUCUCAUAAAACUCAUCCCAGUUCGGAUUGCAGGCUGAAACUCGCCUGCAUGAAGCCGGAGUUGCUAGUAAUCGCGAAUCAGCAUGUCGCGGUGAAUACGUUCCCGGGCCUUGUACACACCGCCCGUCACACCAUGAGAGUUGGCAAUACCCGAAGUCCGUGGGGCAACCAGCAAUGGAGCCAGCGGCCGAAGGUAGGGUCAGCGAUUGGGGUGAAGUCGUAACAAGGUAACC